rnacentral:rRNA from 1 species
AGCGAACGCUGGCGGCAGGCCUAACACAUGCAAGUCGAUCGGAUCCUUCGGGAUUAGUGGCGGACGGGUGAGUAACACGUGGGAACGUGCCCUUUGGUUCGGAACAACUCAGGGAAACUUGAGCUAAUACCGGAUGUGCCCUUCGGGGGAAAGAUUUAUCGCCAUUGGAGUGGCCCGCGUCUGAUUAGCUAGUUGGUGAGGUAAAGGCUCACCAAGGCGACGAUCAGUAGCUGGUCUGAGAGGAUGAUCAGCCACAUUGGGACUGAGACACGGCCCAGACUCCUACGGGAGGCAGCAGUGGGGAAUCUUGCGCAAUGGGCGAAAGCCUGACGCAGCCAUGCCGCGUGAAUGAUGAAGGUCUUAGGAUUGUAAAAUUCUUUCACCGGGGACGAUAAUGACGGUACCCGGAGAAGAAGCCCCGGCUAACUUCGUGCCAGCCGCCGCAGUAACAC